GGUCAAGCUACUAAGAGCAUAGGGUGAAUGCCUAGGCACCAGAAGGCGAAGAAGGACGUGGUAAGCUGCGAAAAGCUGCGGUGAGGCGCAAACAGCCAUCGACCCGCAGAUGUCCGAAUGGGGGAACCCACCUGAGGUAAAUGCUCAGGUACUGCUACAUGAAUCCAUAGUGUAGCAGGGCGAGACGUGGGGAACUGAAACAUCUAAGUACCCACAGGAAAAGAAAUCAACCGAGAUUCCGUAAGUAGUGGCGAGCGAAAGCGGAAGAGCCCAAACCAAUCUAUAGCAAUAUAGGUUGGGGUUGCGGACUGGCGAAAUGAUUCUCUGAGCUUAGCAGAAGUAACCAGGAAAGGUUACACCAUAGAGGGUAAAAGUCCCGUAUGCGAAAAGUGAGGAGACAGGCCAGGAUCCAGAGUACCACGAGGCACGUGAAACCUUGUGGGAAGCAGGGGGGACCACCCUCCAAGGCUAAAUACUAACUGGUGACCGAUAGUGGAGAAGUACCGUGAGGGAAAGGUGAAAAGAACCCCGGGAGGGGAGUGAAAGAGAACCUGAAACCCUAUGUUUACAAGCAGUUGGAGAGCGUUAAGGCUCGACAGCGUACUUUUUGUAGAACGGUCCGGCGAGUUAUUGUAUGUGGCGAGGUUAAGUACUGAAGGUACGGAGCCGAAGGGAAACCGAGUCUGAAGAGGGCGUAAAGUCGCAUGCAAUAGACCCGAAACCGGGUGACCUAUCCAUGGACAGGUUGAAGCGAGAGUAAAGUCUCGUGGAGGACCGAACUCAUAACCGUUGAAAAGGUUUGGGAUGAGCUGUGGAUAGCGGAGAAAUUCCAAUCGAACUCGGAGAUAGCUGGUUCUCCCCGAAAUAGCUUUAGGGCUAGCCUCAAGUAUGUCUAACGGAGGUAAAGCACUGAAUGGGCUAGGGGCCUUACCGGGUUACCGAACCCUAUCAAACUCUGAAUGCCGUAUAGAUUUAGCUUGGGAGUCAGACUACGAGAGAUAAGUUCCGUAGUCGAGAGGGAAACAGCCCAGACCAUCAGCUAAGGUCCCAAAAUCACAGUUAAGUGGGAAAGGAUGUGGGUUUGCUAAGACAACUAGGAUGUUGGCUUAGAAGCAGCCAUUCAUUCAAAGAGUGCGUAAUAGCUCACUAGUCGAGUGAACCUGCGCCGAAAAUGUCCGGGGCUCAAACUGUGUACCGAAGCUGUGGCUUUGUGUGUGUUCACUGGUGUAUCUUAACAGAGGUAGAAGCUGAAGAGACAGUUUUGCGAAAAGCGACGAGGGAAAAAGGAAUGAAAGCUUUUCGCUAAAUGAACCAAAGGCUAAAACUUGUGUUAAGGGGCAGCAGUGAACACACACGAGGGGUAGGGGAGCUUACUAUGGUAGGUAGAAGCAUGACCGGAAGGACAUGUGGACGAGAUAGUAGUGAGAAUGCCGGAAUAAGUAGCGAGAGUGAAGUGAGAAUCUUUACCGUCGAAAAUCUAAGGUUUCCUGGGGAAGGUUCGUCCGCCCAGGGUAAGUCGGGACCUAAGCUGAGGCCGAAAGGCGUAGGCGAUGGGGAACAGGUUGAAAUUCCUGUACUACCGCUGCUCGUUUGAGAGAAGUGGGGACGCAGGGGGAUAGGUCAAGCGAGUGACUGGAAGAGCUCGUCCAAGCGGCAAGUAGAGUCCGGUAGGCAAAUCCGCCGGAUGAUUAUGAGCCGUGACGGGGAGGGAAAAUAUAGUACCGAAGUGACCGAUUUCGCACUGACGAGAAAAGCCACUAUCGAGAGUAGAGGUACCCGUACCGCAAACCGACACAGGUAGAUGAGGAGAGAAUCCUAAGACGAGCGGGAGAAGCGUUGUUAAGGAACUCGGCAAAUUGACCCCGUAAGUUCGCGAGAAGGGGUGCCUGUGAGAGCAGGCCGCAGAGAAUAGGCCCAAGCAACUGUUUAUCAAAAACACAGGUCUCUGCUAAAUCGAAAGAUGAAGUAUAGGGGCUGACGCCUGCCCGGUGCUGGAAGGUUACGGGGAUCUGUUAACGGAAGUGAAGCAGUGAACUUAAGCCCCAGUAAACGGCGGCCGUAACUAUAACGGUCCUAAGGUAGCGAAAUUCCUUGUCGGGUAAGUUCCGACCCGCACGAAUGGCGUAAUGAUUUGGGCACUGUCUCAACAACGUACCCGGCGAAAUUGUAGUACUUGUGAAGAUGCAAGUUACCCGCGACAAGACGGAAAGACCCCAUGGAGCUUUACUGUAGCCUGAUACUGGGUUUCGGUAUUCUUUGUACAGGAUAGGUGGGAGAUAGGGAAGUGUGGACGCCAGUCUGCAUGGAAUCGCCGUUGGGAUACCACUCUAAGGGUACUGGGACUCUAACCUGAGGCCAUGAGCUGGUCUAGGGACACUGUCAGGUGGGCAGUUUGACUGGGGCGGUCGCCUCCUAAAAGGUAACGGAGGCGUCCAAAGGUUACCUCAGCGCGGUUGGAAAUCGCGCAUCGAGUGCAAAGGCAUAAGGUAGCCUGACUGUGAGACAGACAAGUCGAGCAGGUACGAAAGUAGGGCUUAGUGAUCCGGCGGUAAGAGAGUGGAAUUGCCGUCGCUCAACGGAUAAAAGCUACCCUGGGGAUAACAGGCUGAUCUCCCCCAAGAGUCCACAUCGACGGGGAGGUUUGGCACCUCGAUGUCGGCUCAUCGCAUCCUGGAGCUGAAGUAGGUUCCAAGGGUUUGGCUGUUCGCCAAUUAAAGCGGUACGCGAGCUGGGUUCAGAACGUCGUGAGACAGUUCGGUCCCUAUCUGUCGCGGGCGCAGGAUAUUUGAAGGGAUCUGUCCUUAGUACGAGAGGACCGGGAUGGACGAACCUCUGGUGCACCAGUUGUACUACCAAGUGCACAGCUGGGUAGCCAAGUUCGGACGGGAUAAACGCUGAAAGCAUCUAAGCGUGAAACCCACCCUAAGAUGAGAUAUCCCACCGAAAGGGUAAGACCCCAUGUAGACUACAUGGUUGAUAGGCCAGGGGUGUAAGUACAGUAAUGUAUUUAGCUGACUGGUACUAAUAGGUCGAGGGCUUGACCAA
rfam:[Clostridium] clariflavum DSM 19732 chromosome, complete genome.